CUUCAGCAAACACUUCUGAAACAAUCCAGCCAUACCUCCAACAUAUCCCUUUCUCCAUUCACAGGCUCCAACAGUCUCCAGUUCUUUCCAGAGCCAUGGUGCAGAGUUGUAGGGGUAAGAUGGACAUAAAAUAAAAUGUGAAAGUACUCCCUGAAUUUGUGUGUACUGUGAAUACCUCAGUUUGUUUUUCUCAAGAGUUGUUAUCACCUAGCAUGUCAUAUUGUUUGUUACUAUUAUCUAUCUCCCCCGAUGAGACUGUCAGCUCACCAAGGGUAGAAAUGUCUAUUGCAUAUUUACUGCUAUAGCCCCAGUUCUUAGAACAAUACCUAGUACAUAGUAUAUACUAAAAAAUGAAUGAUUCACCAAAUAAAAACAAAUGAUUUUUAUUCUCUUCUGUAACUUAUCCCUAUUUUUCCUUUACUUUUAAAGCCAGAAAGAUGUAUAAAAAGGAAAAAAAAAUGUAUGAGAGUGCUCAUUUCCUUGUUCUUAUUCUUAGCCUGGGAAAUAAACUAAAUUUCUUCUGUAUUCAAAGUAAAGAACAACUAAAGAUGAACAUCUGUUUAAACUAUUGUUGAAUAAAAUGCCAAUAAAACAUAUCUAAGCUCUGCAGUUAUUUCCAUGGGUUUUCCCCACUCCCACUGACUUUGGUAUAGUUUCUGAUCAAUCAGGAUAGUGGGAGAUGACCCACUUUCAUAACAUCUGAAGCUAUUCAAUUUUUCUAUGAUACAAUUCCAUCAUGGGCCAAGUAGAAUGGUCCAGCAGAGAGAUGCUCUCACUUUCUCUCAAAAGGUUAUCCUUUUGGCUUUCUUUUGAGAUAGUGUUUCCUAGACAGGUGAAAAAUUGAAGCUUAUCUCUAAGGGCAAAGCUAUGUGAUGAAAACUUUUUCUCCCUUACCAAUCCUCCCACUCUUGAGCAAGGGGGAAACAAUUCCAAGGCUUAGACUUUCAGUUCUAAAAACUGUUAGUGAUUGCACAUGAACUUGAACCCUAGCUUUAAAUCUGCAUCGAAAGUGUUUUCUGAUCAGCUUAGGUAUAAACCAAUUGAAAAUUUUGGAUAACUUGCAAAAGAUGCCAGAGCAGGCUCUCUGAUGGUGGCAUGGAAAACCAAACCCACAAACAAAAGCAAUAAAUGAGAUUCGUUUUUGUGGCAGCUCUGAGCUUUAUUUAACAACGCAGCAAUUUCCUCUGUUAUAAAUAACUCAAAACUGAGCAAAGGCAUACCAACCAUAAAGGCGAAAAUGAAUCUGGUCAACAGAGAUUUGGGACCUACCUUUAAUCCUUUAAUAAUGGUCUAAAAAAUAAUUUAUCUCUAGAUGUUAUUUUGUAUCUGGUAAUUCAACCAAAGACAUCAUUUUAUCCUCAGCAGGGGCAGUAAUUUUUAAGCUAGCCUCUGUGGAUAGC
rnacentral:lncRNA from 1 species